rnacentral:rRNA from 1 species
AUUGAACGCUGGCGGCAGGCCUAACACAUGCAAGUCGAACGGUAGCAGGAAGAAGCUUGCUUCUUUGCUGACGAGUGGCGGACGGGUGAGUAAUGUCUGGGAAACUGCCUGAUGGAGGGGGAUAACUACUGGAGACGGUAGCUAAUACCGCAUAACGUCGCAAGACCAAAGAGGGGGACCUUCGGGCCUCUCGCCAUCAGAUGUGCCCAGAUGGGAUUAGCUAGUAGGUGGGGUAACGGCUCACCUAGGCGACGAUCCCUAGCUGGUCUGAGAGGAUGACCAGCCACACUGGAACUGAGACACGGUCCAGACUCCUACGGGAGGCAGCAGUGGGGAAUAUUGCACAAUGGGCGCAAGCCUGAUGCAGCCAUGCCGCGUGUGUGAAGAAGGCCUUCGGGUUGUAAAGCACUUUCAGCGGGGAGGAAGGGGGAAUGGUUAAUAACCAUUGCCAUUGACGUUACCCGCAGAAGAAGCACCGGCUAACUCCGUGCCAGCAGCCGCCGUAA